GAUGAACGCUAGCGGCAGGCUUAACACAUGCAAGUCGAGGGGCAUCAGGGAUUGUGCUUGCACAAUCCGCUGGCGACCGGCGCACGGGUGCGUAACGCGUAUGCAACCUACCUUUAACAGGGGGAUAACACUGAGAAAUUGGUACUAAUUCCCCAUAACACCUUAUGAGGCAUCUUAUUAGGUUGAAAGUUCCGCUGUAAGAUGGUCUCGCGUCUGAUUAGCUAGUUGGUGAGGUAACGGCUCACCAAGGCGACGAUCAGUAGCCGGUCUGAGAGGAUGAACGGCCACAUUGGGACUGAGAUACGGCCCAGACUCCUACGGGAGGCAGCAGUGGGGAAUAUUGGGCAAUGGGCGAAAGCCUGACCCAGCAACGCCGCGUGAAGGAAGAAGGCCUUCGGGUUGUAAACUUCUUUUACCAGGGACAAAGAACGUGACGGUACCUGGAGAAAAAGCAACGGCUAACUACGUG
rnacentral:rRNA from 1 species